UGAACUCUGUGGGUCGAGCUGGCUAGGCACAACUGCGGUGGGGGGACCCCAGGCAUGGCUACAGGUGAGCAGAGUUGGGGCAGGGGCCGGGCGGGGCCCUCACAGUGCGCCCUGCAGGCCUGGGGGGUCCUCAGGCUCCUGAGAGGCUGGUGGGGAGGCCGAGCCUGCGGCGCGGGGUCAGCAGGGUGGUGAGGCAGCGCCAUCUGGUGGCCUGUGCUGGUGACACCAGGAGGCAGAGUUGGGAAGGCGGCCUGUAUGGUCACCGGAGCCAUCUGUGAGUGGGACUCUGGACCUGGGGUUUUGGGGCUGCCCACGAGGGUGAGGGAGGGGAACCAGCAACUCAGUUGAAGAAUAGGCUUUAGUGAAGAAUCAGCUGCAUGGCCCCGGAGCAGGAUGUGAACAUGGCCCCCUAAGGGCAACUGGGCACCUGCCUAGGAGCCGGAGGCCUGGGCUCCAGGCCAUCAGACCCCACCUUGGUCAGGGUGCCGGCUCUGCCCCAUGCCGCAGUCCCCCUGUGUGGGAUGCAGGUGGCUGGGUGGGGAGGAGCAGGAGCAGACCUGGGCCUGCCUGCAGGUGUGUGUCCCCUGUGCCCUGGGUCCUCUCCACAGAGACCUGAUUCUCACCCUGCCUCACCCUGCAGGCUCGGCCUGUCCUUGGGUCCCAAGGCAGGAGCCGGUGGUGGAUGGGCUUCUUACAGUCCUGGAAGGGUCUGAGCAAGGGCAGGGUCUCCUGACAGCUCUGGAGAUGGGGGAGGGCUGGCCACCCCCUAGACGGGGCCCAUGGGCAGGGACAGCCCCCCAGCACCUGGCUGGGACCCCUCCCCCAGGGCCCUCUGCAGGACCGUCCUCAGUGGCUCCCGAUGCCUGGGCUGCCGGCCCAUCACGAAGUACAUGAGGGGCUUGGCACUGCUGUCGAUGCAGGCCAGGAGGGUGGCCAGCGGGAGGAAGAUGGGCAGCAGGAAGUUCAGGAUCGGCCGCAGGCUCCAGUAGAGGAUGAAGGGCAGGCGGCAAAAAAGGAGCAGGACCCCUGAGCCCUGGACGAUGCCACAGAACUUGGGGCGCGGGCGCUGGGAGCAGCAGUUCACCCAGAUGAAGAGCACCAGGCAGGCCCCCAAGGCCACGCAUGCCAGUGACAGCAGCCAGGCGACGCUGACCGCGUGGUAGCGGAUGCAGGCCAGCAGGCGCGUGCCCUCUUGCAGCAGGCCGCAGGCGUUGGCGGGCAGCAGCACGGCGGGCAGCGUCAGAGCCCAGACCAGGACGCAGAGGCCGGUGGAGGCGUGCCGGGGCCGGCAGCGCCGGUAGCAGGAGGGGAAGAUGUCGGAGAGGCAGCGCUCGGCACCAAGGACCGCCAGCAGCCAGAGCCCUGCCGAGAACCAUAGGAAGGUGACCACGAAGUAGAGCGUGUCCUGGGAGGAGCCCAGCGCGGCCUGGACGACGGAGAAGGCCACCUGGCAGGACAGGAACAGGAAGUCCGCGGCGGCCAGGUGCAGCAGGUUUAAGAUGGCCAAGUCGGGACCCCGGGACCCAGGGAGGAAAGGGCUGGCCACAUGAGCCCUCCUGCCGCGCACCCGGGGCUUCCUCCAGGCUUCUCCACGGGCACCCGUCCUGGCGAUCCCCCGGCCUGGCCCUGCCUCUGUCAUGUCCACUGGGAUCCAGUCUACAGGGGGAGCUUCCCUGGGCCUCACGUACAAGUGCUGGACGAGAGGUUUCCUGGGAGACUCUUCAGGAAAAAUGGACUUGGACAACCCUGGAGUUAGAGACAACAGGGCUGCGGUCACUUCCCCACAAGUGGCCGUGGCCCUGGCCCUCGCUGCGUCUGGGGUGUGUCGGAGAAGGAGAAGCCUGGGACACUCUGUGUCCAGCAAGGGCUGGCCACACCUCCUGGCUGCUCUGCUUGGUGGACGGCCCCUGUCAUCUCCAGGUUGCUGCAAUGGCCCACGUGACCCAGGCUCUGUGGGCUGAGGCCUGGACGUGGCUCCUGGUCUCACCUUUGUGGAUCUGUGGCUUUGAGGGAAUGACCCAUCCUCCCUGGGCCUCAGUCCACCACCUCCCAUGGGACUGACAGUUCACAGCUCAGUUCCUGGGUAGAGCAGGUGCUGGCCCAGGACUUCCUUCCACACCCCUUCCUGAGGAGCCCUCCACUGUCUGUCCACCUGCCCUGGCCAUCUAGAGCUACUGGACACCAACUGAUGCUUGUCCAAACUCUGCCUGCAGAACCACUUAGUGGGAAAUGUUCCUCUCAGACAUUCUCGUGGACUGUGCUCUAUGAUUGCUGACUGGGACACACAGCCCGGUGCUCAACACGAGGAAUCAGAUGGAAAGGGGCUAUCGGCCCUCAUAUUUCUCACAUGGAUUUGUCCCUGGUGUGCAGGACAGCUGCUUUCAGGUUGCGCCUGGCCUGAGUGACUCCAUAGUGCGUAGGAUAGCCGCUCUCAGGCUGCGCCUGCCCUAGUGACUCCAUGGUGUGUAGGACAGCAGUCCUCAGGCUGCGCCUGCCCUGGUGACUCCAUGGUGUGUAGAACAGCAGUCCUCAGGCUGCGCCUGCCCUAGUGACUCCAUGGU